rnacentral:lncRNA from 1 species
UAAUUUCAUUUCAUUCCCCACCCAUCCACCGGCCGCCGCUGGUCAGGAGUCGCCUUGCCCUCGCCGUCGUCUCCGUCGUGCGUCAGUCGUGGAGAAGACGAAGGGAGUCCAGCAGGGGCGAGGGGGAGGGCGACGACGGAUCGAUUCCGUCCCCACCAGGCCACCCCUUCGUCUCAGCCUCCGGCAGCGGCAGCGACGAAGCCGAAGCUCCGACAAAGCAGGUAAGCUCCGAGCCGCCCCUGUUCUUCACUUCUUCUUCUUCUCUGUCUCUGUUCUUCUUCUUCUUCUUCUUCUUCUUCUUCUUCUUCUUCAGGUCUGCUGAUCCGCUGCUUUGAUCUGCUCAAGCUCAAGCUUCUCCGUCGCCGUUGACUGCCAGGUAAUCACUAGCUCAGAUCUGCUACUCCUCCUUUGUUCUUCUUCAUUUAUGAUCCGAUCUGAAGUCUUCUUCCUCUAAUCUGCUUCUUGUUUGCUCUGUUAUGGCAGCCGAUUGAGGCUAGGUCUAAGGCCCGUGAGGAGAAAGCCGUCCGCUAGAACUUGCUAGAACUUGAUGUAAUAUGAGAACUUGAACUGUGAUCUAAAAACAUUGAACUAUAUAGAGCUUGGCUGACUGUACUCU